AACGCACCUUGCGCCCUUUGGCUAUUCCGAAGGGCAUGCCUGUUUGAGUAUCAUGAACACCUCAACCCUCAUGGUUUGCCAUGAUGGGCUUGGACUUUGGGGGUCUUGCUGGAUUGUAGAUCAGCUCCCCUUAAAUGAAUCAGCUUUCCAGUGUCUGGUGGCAUCAUGGGUGUGAUAAUCAUCUACGCUUGUGGUUUUACACCAGGUAACCUUCAGAGAUGGGGGUUCGCUGGGGCUCAUAAAGGUCCCUCCUCUGUGAGGACAACUCUUUGAAUGUUUGAUCUCAAAUCAGGUAGGACUACCCGCUGAACUUAA
rnacentral:misc_RNA from 1 species